rnacentral:rRNA from 1 species
AACUCUACAAUGCAGGCAACUGCGAUAGGGGAACAUCGAGUGCAUGCCAUAUUGGUGUGCUGUCCCCCAGCCUAAAAAGCUGGGGUUAGCAAGGGCCGGGCAAGACCGGUGCCAGCCGCCGCGGUAAUACCGGCGGCUCGAGUGGUGGCCGAUAUUAUUGAGUCUAAAGGGUCCGUAGCCGGCUUUGCAAGUCUCUCGGGAAAUCCAGCGGCUUAACCGUUGGUCGUCCGGGGGGUACUACAUUGCUUGGGACUGGGAGAGGUAGGAGGUACUCAGGGGGUAGGAGUGAAAUCCUGUAAUCCUUUGGGGACCACCGGUGGCGAAGGCGUCCUACCAGAACAGGUCCGACGGUGAGGGACGAAAGCUAGGGGCACGAACCGGAUUAGAUACCCGGGUAGUCCUAGCCGUAAACGAUGCUCGCUAGGUGUCACAACAGUCGUGAACUGUUGCGGUGCCGCAGGGAAGCCGUGAAGCGAGCCACUUGGGAAGUACGACCGCAAGGUUGAAACUUAA